rnacentral:rRNA from 1 species
GGCCUAACACAUGCAAGUCGAACGGUAACAGGAAACAGCUUGCUGUUUCGCUGACGAGUGGCGGACGGGUGAGUAAUGUCUGGGAAACUGCCUGAUGGAGGGGGAUAACUACUGGAAACGGUAGCUAAUACCGCAUAAUGUCGCAAGACCAAAGUGGGGGACCUUCGGGCCUCAUGCCAUCAGAUGUGCCCAGAUGGGAUUAGCUAGUAGGUGGGGUAAUGGCUCACCUAGGCGACGAUCCCUAGCUGGUCUGAGAGGAUGACCAGCCACACUGGAACUGAGACACGGUCCAGACUCCUACGGGAGGCAGCAGUGGGGAAUAUUGCACAAUGGGCGCAAGCCUGAUGCAGCCAUGCCGCGUGUGUGAAGAAGGCCUUCGGGUUGUAAAGCACUUUCAGCGGGGAGGAAGGCGGUGAGGUUAAUAACCUCAUCGAUUGACGUUACCCGCAGAAGAAGCACCGGCUAACUCCGUGCCAGCAGCCGCGGUAAUACGGAGGGUGCAAGCGUUAAUCGGAAUUACUGGGCGUAAAGCGCACGCAGGCGGUCUGUCAAGUCGGAUGUGAAAUCCCCGGGCUCAACCUGGGAACUGCAUUCGAAACUGGCAGGCUAGAGUCUUGUAGAGGGGGGUAGAAUUCCAGGUGUAGCGGUGAAAUGCGUAGAGAUCUGGAGGAAUACCGGUGGCGAAGGCGGCCCCCUGGACAAAGACUGACGCUCAGGUGCGAAAGCGUGGGGAGCAAACAGGAUUAGAUACCCUGGUAGUCCACGCCGUAAACGAUGUCGAUUUGGAGGUUGUGCCCUUGAGGCGUGGCUUCCGGAGCUAACGCGUUAAAUCGACCGCCUGGGGAGUACGGCCGCAAGGUUAAAACUCAAAUGAAUUGACGGGGGCCCGCACAAGCGGUGGAGCAUGUGGUUUAAUUCGAUGCAACGCGAAGAACCUUACCUGGUCUUGACAUCCACAGAACUUAGCAGAGAUGCUUUGGUGCCUUCGGGAACUGUGAGACAGGUGCUGCAUGGCUGUCGUCAGCUCGUGUUGUGAAAUGUUGGGUUAAGUCCCGCAACGAGCGCAACCCUUAUCCUUUGUUGCCAGCGGUCCGGCCGGGAACUCAAAGGAGACUGCCAGUGAUAAACUGGAGGAAGGUGGGGAUGACGUCAAGUCAUCAUGGCCCUUACGACCAGGGCUACACACGUGCUACAAUGGCAUAUACAAAGAGAAGCGACCUCGCGAGAGCAAGCGGACCUCAUAAAGUAUGUCGUAGUCCGGAUUGGAGUCUGCAACUCGACUCCAUGAAGUCGGAAUCGCUAGUAAUCGUAGAUCAGAAUGCUACGGUGAAUACGUUCCCGGGCCUUGUACACACCGCCCGUCACACCAUGGGAGUGGGUUGCAAAAGAAGUAGGUAGCUUAACCUUCGGGAGGGCGCUUACCACUUUGUGAUUCAUGACUGGGGUGAAGUCGAA